CGUGUGAAGCCCCUUCGACGAGUCGAGUUGUUUGGGAAUGCAGCUCAAAAUGGGUGGUAAAUUUCAUCUAAAGCUAAAUACCGGCCAGAGACCGAUAGCGCACAAGUAGAGUGAUCGAAAGAUGAAAAGCACUUUGGAAAGAGAGUGAAACAGUACGUGAAAUUGUUGAAAGGGAAGCGCUUGCGGCCAGACUGGGCCGCGCGCGAUCCGCCGCCUUCAGGCGGGUGCACUCGCGCGCGGUCAGGCCAGCAUCGGUUUCGGCGGCCGGACAAAGGUUCCGGGAACGUAGCUCCUUUCGGGGAGUGUUAUAGCCCGGGGCGGCAUGCGGCCAGCCGGGACCGAGGACCGCGCUUCGGCUAGGAUGCUGGCGUAAUGGCCGUCAGCGACCCGUCUUGAAACACGGACCAAGGAGUCUAACAUCCGCGCGAGUGUUUGGGUGUCAAGCCCAGGCGCGGAAUGAAAGUGAACGGAGGUGGGAGCCGCGGGGCGCACCAUCGACCGAUCCGGACGUCUUCGGAUGGAUUUGAGUAGGAGCACGGCUGUUGGGACCCGAAAGAUGGUGAACUAUGCCUGUAUAGGGUGAAGCCAGAGGAAACUCUGGUGGAGGCUCGCAGCGGUCCUGACGUGCAAAUCGGUCGUCAAAUUUGGGUAUAGGGGCGAAAGACUAAUCGAACCAUCUAGUAGCUGGUUCCUGCCGAAGUUUCCC
rnacentral:rRNA from 1 species